rnacentral:rRNA from 1 species
AGGUGAUAUGAACCGUUAUAACCGGCGAUUUCCGAAUGGGUAAACCCAGUGUGGUUCGACGCACUAUCAUUAACUGAAUCCAUAGGUUAAUGAGGCGAACCGGGGGAACUGAAACAUCUAAGUACCCCGAGGAAAAGAAAUCAACCGAGAUUCCCCCAGUAGCGGCGAGCGAACGGGGAGGAGCCCAGAGCCUGAAUCAGCAUGUGUGUUAGUGGAAGCGUCUGGAAAGGCGCGCGAUACAGGGUGACAGCCCCGUACACAAAAGCGCAUGUGCUGUGAGCUCGAUGAGUAGGGCGGGACACGUGGUAUCCUGUCUGAAUAUGGGGGGACCAUCCUCCAAGGCUAAAUACUCCUGACUGACCGAUAGUGAACCAGUACCGUGAGGGAAAGGCGAAAAGAACCCCGGCGAGGGGAGUGAAAAAGAACCUGAAACCGUGUACGUACAAGCAGUGGGAG